rnacentral:rRNA from 1 species
AUGGGGAAGAAGCAGCAUAGCAAGGACCGGAUGUUCAUAACUGCCACGGAGUGGGCGACAGAGUGGGGCGGCGCCAAGAACAGGGAGGCCAUCGCGCCAUUCCAGCGCCUCCCCUUCUACUGCUGCGCGCUCACGUUCUUGCCAUUUGAGGAUCCGGUGUGUACGGCAGAUGGAAGCGUCUUCGAUUUGAUGAGCAUAAUCCCAUAUAUUAAAAAAUUCGGGAAGCAUCCGGUAACUGGAGCAGUGCUGAAGCAGGAGGAUCUAAUUCCUCUCACUUUCCACAAGAACACAGACGGAGAGUUCCAGUGUCCUGUUUUAAAUAAAGUUUUCACAGAAUUCACGCAUAUAGUUGCUGUAAAGACUACGGGGAACGUCUUCUGUUAUGAGGCAAUCCAGGAGCUUAACAUUAAGCCAAAGAAUUGGAAAGAGUUGCUAACCGAUGAGCCCUUUGCACGAAAGGACUUGAUAACAAUUCAGAAUCCAAAUGCGCUUGAUACCAAGGUCCUAGGGCAAUUUGAUCAUGUUAGACAAGGCCUCAAACUUGAUGAUGAAGAGUUGCAGCGGAUGAAAGAUGAUCCAACCUACAACAUAAAUGUUGCCGGUGAUCUUAAGCAAAUGAUGAAGGAACUUGGGACUGAAAAAGGAAAAUUAGCUUUUCUGCAUGGUGGGGGAGGACAGAAAGCUCAAAAGGAAAGAGCUGCCGCACUGGCUGUCCUUUUAGCAAAAGAAGAGAAGAGUGACUCAAAAUCGAGCAAAGAACCUAAACCUCCUCAACCAUUCAGUGUUGUGGAUGCUGCUUCGGCUUCUGUUCAUGGCAGAAGCGCAGCAGCAGCAAAAUCUGGCACUGCUGAGAAAACUGCUGCUAGAAUUGCUAUGCACAGGGCAGGGGAUCGGGAUCCUAUAAAUGCUAAAUUGGUUAAAAGUCGUUACACUACUGGAGCAGCUUCACGUUCUUUCACGUCGACUUCCUAUGACCCCGUUACCAAAAAUGAAUUUGAGUAUGUUAAAGUUGAAAGGAAUCCAAAAAAGAAAGGAUAUGUUCAGUUGCAUACCACCCAUGGUGAUUUGAAUUUGGAGCUUCAUUGUGAUAUUACUCCUCGGACAUGUGAAAACUUCCUAACACAUUGUGAAAAUGGUUACUACAAUGGUCUUAUCUUCCAUCGUAGCAUCAAAAACUUUAUGAUUCAAGGAGGUGAUCCAACUGGCACAGGAAGCGGAGGGGAGUCCAUAUGGGGUGGUCAACCUUUCAAGGAUGAACUGAAUUCAAAGCUGCUACAUUCAGGAAGAGGUGUUGUCAGCAUGGCGAAUUCUGGGCCCCAUACCAACGGGUCGCAGUUUUUCAUCUUAUACAAGUCCGCGGCACAUUUAAAUUUCAAACAUACAGUGUUUGGCAUGGUGGUUGGUGGUCUGCACAAUCUUUCAGCAAUGGAAAAGGUUCCUGUUGAUGAUGACGACCGCCCAUUGGAGGAAAUAAAGUUACUGAAAGUUAGUGUAUUUGUGAAUCCUUACACGGAACCAGACGAGGAAGAAGAAAAGGCAAAGGAGGAGGAGAAGAACAAGGAUGAAGAUCAUGAUAAGGUGGGGUCAUGGUAUAGCAACCCAGGGACUGGUGUUUCUGCUUCAACGAGCGCUGGUGGUGGAGUUGGCAAGUAUCUCAAGGCUCGGACGGCUGGCUCUGCUGAUGCCACUGGAAAUGCCGCCACAGCAGAUGAUUCAAGCAAGAAGAGAAAAGCGAGUGCUCCUAGUGUAGAAUUCAAAGAUUUCUCUGGAUGGUAG